GGCGGCGAGCGACGGGGAACUGCAGGGAGCGGCGGGGGACAACGGAGGACAGUGGCGAGCAGCGGGGAACAACGGGGGACGACGGGGGACGGCAUCAAGCGGCGGGGAACAACGAGGGACAACGGGGGACGGUGGCAUGAGGGGGCAAGCAGCGGCAGCAGGGGAACAGCCGGGGACGGCAGUGAGCGGCGGGGGACGGCGGAGACCAGCGGGGGAUGCUGGCAGAUGACGGAGGAUGCCAGGGGACAACGGGGGACGGCAUCGAGCAGUGGGGGACGACGAGGGACGGCGGCAAGUGGGGGCGAGCGGCGGCAGUGGGGAAAGGGCGGGCAGCGGGGGGGGACAGCAGCGAGCAACGGGGGAUGACGGAGAGCGGCGGGGAAUGACGGGGAACGACGGGGAACAGCGGCAAGCGGCGGGGGACGACAGAGCGGCGGGGAAUGACGGGGAACAGCAGCGAGCAACGGGGAACGGCAGGGAGCGGCGGGGGACAGCGGGGGACGAUGGGGGACAACAGGGGACAGCGGCAAGCAGCGGGGAACAGCGGGGGACGACGGGGAAUGACGGCAAGCAGCAGGGAACAGCAGCGGGGAACGGCAUGGCACGACGGUGGGGUCGGCAGCGAGCAGUGGGGGACGACGGAGAGCGAUGGGGAAUGAUGGGGAACGACGGGGAACGGCGAUGAGCGACGGGGACCGGCAGGGAGCGGCGGAGGACGACGGGGGACAACAGGGGACGGCGUUGACCGGCAGGGAACGAAGGGGGACGGCGUCGAGCGGCGGGGGACAGCGUCGAGCAGCGGCAGCAGGGAAACAGCGGGGAAUGGCAGGGAACGAUGGGGGACAGCGGGGGACGGUGGCGAGCGGCAGGGGACGGUGGUGAGCGGCGGGGGACGACGGGGGACGGCAGCAAGUGGGGGCGAGCAGCGGCACCGGGGAAAUGGCGGGGAACGGCGGGGGACGGCGGCGAGGGGCAGGGGAGGACGGAGAGCAGCGGGGAACGACGCGGGACGGCGUCAAGUGGUGGCGAGCGGCAGCAGCCAGGAAACAGCGGGGAACGACGGCAGCGCAGAAACGACGCGAAACGACGGCCCCUUAGCACAGCCUCUUAGCAUUAAAAAAAAUUAUAAAACCAAUAAACGUAUGUUAUUCUGCCA
rnacentral:lncRNA from 1 species